rnacentral:rRNA from 1 species
CCUACGGGUGGCAGCAGUGAGGAAUAUUGGUCAAUGGACGAGAGUCUGAACCAGCCAAGUAGCGUGAAGGAUGACUGCCCUAUGGGUUGUAAACUUCUUUUAUAUGGGAAUAAAAUGUUCCACGUGUGGGAUUUUGUAUGUACCAUAUGAAUAAGGAUCGGCUAACUCCGUGCCAGCAGCCGCGGUAAUACGGAGGAUCCGAGCGUUAUCCGGAUUUAUUGGGUUUAAAGGGAGCGUAGGUGGAUUGUUAAGUCAGUUGUGAAAGUUUGCGGCUCAACCGUAAAAUUGCAGUUGAAACUGGCAGUCUGGAGUACAGUAGAGGUGGGCGGAAUUCGUGGUGUAGCGGUGAAAUGCUUAGAUAGGACGAAGAACGCCGAUUGCGAAGGCAACUCACUGGACUGCAACUGACACUGAGGCUCGAAAGUGUGGGUAUCAAACAGGAUUAGAUACCCUUGUAGUC